rnacentral:lncRNA from 1 species
UAUCGAAUUCAUAGUCGAUAUGCACUGCAGGUAUACAUUAUUUAUAUAGGCAUGAGUAUUGUCAAUACUUAACACAUAGUACUUAGCACUUAAUAAUCAUGAAUAAGCGUGUCCUAGAUUUAUUCAAUUACGUAUUCCUAUAUGGAACACUCACCUAGUCAAACAAGCGCGAUAGGUCUCAAACAAGCGUUUUAGGCAUCCGCUCCGAGUUCCUCUUGGAGAUCUCCUCGAUUACCUGAGCAAACAAUAAUUCAAGUACCACUCAAUAUCGCUACGAAUUCUCUAGUUUUCGAUGAAGAUUGUACGCUAGUGCAAUCUAAGAAAUUAACGCGGAGACGAGCCUAAGAAUUCGUGUAACUCGAGGUUCAAAAGUGGGGUUUUAAAACACAAGACAAAUCUGAUUUCCAUCUCUGGAUUCAAAUGUAAAACAAUCAAAUGAUAUUGAAAGAAGUGAAGAGUUCGAAACCCCCUUAGUUUCCUUUAAGUUAGAAAAUUCCAGAUUUAACAAGUAAUUUUUGAAAAAUCAUAUCUUACUCUCUGCAAGCCCAAAAUUGGAAAGCUUGAUACUAUUGAAAACCUCUUUGAAAGUACUAAAAGUUCUUAUAAUACACUUUUCUAAGAUUGCACAUGGAAAACAUUCAAAAAUAAGCUCAAAGUCUCUGUUUUGGUUCAUAAGGCAGAUUUAAGUUGAUUUUUGGCCAACUUUGAAAAUUCGGCAAAAUUCACUUGAUUGGAACUAGCUUUUGAAAUUUGGUACUAUUUUAGAGUUACAAUCCAAGUUUAUAGUAAAACAAGCGCAAUGAGAAAUGGAGUUUUGAGUACUAUGAUAUGGCAACUCAAAGUUACCAGAAUUUUAAGGCAAAGCUGCCUUGUAUAUGAAAAUUUCCUUUUCCAAACUUUUGACCAAGGGAAAAUCCUCUAAACAUGGUUCAUUUGUUUAGGCGCAAUCUAAAGAACAUUCAUGGUACCUUUGGUGGGUGUCUAACUCCAAGAAAUUUAAUUAUCAAGUCUAUACCAAGCCUUGCAUCAAAUCUGUCUAAAAACCAGGGUUUUCAAGAGCAGGGCAGGUUCCGUAUUUUGAUCACAAGUCACUCCAAUUAACUCGGAAUUGGGCAUGGUUGAAGGCGUUGGAAAAAAAAUUCAUAAAGCUAUAAUUUCACAGAAGAAAUCAUUUUGAAAUUAGGCGCGCAACUAGCUCGAAUUCGAGCCACAAGUUGCAGCCUCAGCAUUUUGUUCUUGUAAAAUAGAGAAACAGAACAGCCGACUUAAAAUGGUUGGUUCGGCUCACGUACAUGGAACCAGAAUGUGCAUUUUAUACCGUCGGAAAGUUUGGAAUGUUUAGUUUCAAAUGCCGCUGACGGCACUCGAUUUCGACAUCGGAGCUCAAAAUUAUGGCCGAAAUACGAAAGCUGGUCAGAGCAUUUCGGAAAUAGUUCCAGAUUUACUAGCUUUGUGAAAUCAAUUUAUUUGACCAACCAAACCUCAAUAUUUUUCAAUGAAACUUAUACACCAUAUAUUCAACAUAUCAACGUGAUAUACAAGUCAUGAAACCCUCAAAAUUUUGCAAAAAAGGGUGCGAUUAAAACAGGGCAAAUCUGAACAUUUUUGAACUAUGCAUCUCUUGGAGUCCAGACUAGCUAGGUAUCAUUAAUCUACCUAUUUAAACACUAACUAGCAUUAUAUCCAUCAUCAAUCCAAGGGUGGGAGUUCAUAGAGCCCACCAUCAAAAUUUUCCGACAUGAAAUAAAGCAAAUAGCAUGUGAUUUUGGCAAAUAAUUCCACCACAAUAAAUCUGUCCUCGGCUAAACAGAAUUUCCAGCAGCUAAUUGGUCAUAAAUCCAACUUUUUACUCGGCUAAAACAUGAUAUUAAGUACUCAAUUUCGGCAUGCAAUUUCUUAACUAGCCAAUUAACAUUUCCAGUUCAAAAUUAGAUUCAAACAACAGUUAUAAUCAUCCCAAAAAUUCCAGAAUUUGUUCACCUAUUCUCGGCUAGAUUGCAUGCAACAGAUUCCUUGUUUCCUUUUCUUUUUCUUACUUAACCGAGCUAAAGAACGGCAUGCAAAGCUUAAACACUUAAUUCUUAGUUAGUUAAUCGCAAUUACAAGCUCAGAUUACUUCAAUUAAGCAAGAUCAAGUAUGCAUUUCUGAUUCAAGCUCACGGCAAUAUCCAUUUCCAUCAAACCAGAUUUUCCUCAUGCUUUGAUUUCAUCGACCAAACGCACAAACUCAACAUGCAAGCUUUUAAACAGCUUCUUCUACCAGUAAUUAGUUAAUCUAAGUCUCGAAUUUACCUCAGCUAGAAGGUCAGUUCAUGCAACAAGAAAAGCUGAAAUUUCUCUCCUCUCGGCUAAGCUCACGCACGCGAUGGUUGCAGCUGUGGUGUUGCGGUUGGAAGAUGAUGGCAGCUGGUUGGGGUGAAGGUGCAGAUUGAAACGGUCAGCUCGCGGUUGGGAGGAGGAAGGUGAUGCAGCUCUCGCAGUUCCCUCACAAUCACUCGCGGACAGUUUGAGAAGGCAGGUUGCGUAGCUUCCUUUCUUGUUCAAGCUUCUGAUCAGAAGGAAAAGGAAAAGCUCGGCUUUCUCUCUUGGCUAUGAUCACGAGGUAAGGGAUAAUGGUGUGGGACAAUUGUGGUUGUGAUUAAGGCUGAGGUAGUGGGGAU